UACGUAGGGGGCAAGCGUUGUCCGGAAUUAUUGGGCGUAAAGCGCGCGCAGGCGGUUCUUUAAGUCUUGUGUUUAAUCCCGGGGCUCAACCUCGGUACGCAUGGGAAACUGGGGGACUGGAGUGCAGGAGAGGAAAGUGGAAUUCCACGUGUAGCGGUGAAAUGCGUAGAUAUGUGGAGGAACACCAGUGGCGAAGGCGACUUUCUGGCCUGUAACUGAGGCUGAGGCGCGAAAGCGUGGGGAGCAAACAGG
rnacentral:rRNA from 1 species